CUGUAGCUCAGCGGACAGAGCACCGGUUUCCUAAACCGGGGGUCGCAAGUUCGAAUCUUGCCGGGGGCG
rnacentral:tRNA from 1 species